rnacentral:rRNA from 1 species
CCUACGGGGCGCAGCAGUGAGGAAUAUUGGUCAAUGGGCGGAAGCCUGAACCAGCCAAGUCGCGUGAGGGAAGAAGGCCCUGCCGGUCGCAGACCUCAUUGGACGGGGAGCAAGGCCGCCGACGUGUCAGCGGAAGGAGAGUACCCGUAGAACAAGCAUCGGCUAACUCCGUGCCAGCAGCCGCGGUAAUACGGAGGAUGCGAGCGUUAUCCGGAUUUAUUGGGCGUAAAGAGAACGCAGGCGGUCU